GAAUAUGAAGCGAUAAAUUGCAUCUAGUUUCGACCUAGUCUUAGACAAUAAAUGUCCUUAUUCU
rnacentral:tRNA from 1 species